ACGAGCCGCGCCGAAAUUCCCCAUCUCUGCGCCUUCGCUCGGGCCGCAGCGCGCGGGUGGCGCGUCACAGUGCACGCGGAAAAAGGGACCGGGCGGCGCCCGUCCCACAACUCCUUGCAGGGGCCCUACAAUGACAAAUUUCAGAAGUUUCUUUUUUUUUUUCGGCGCCAUUUUCGAUUGGGCUGGAGGUAAGGAGGGCUUUUUUCGGGGGAAUUAUUUUGCAGGAUUUUUUCCUUCUUUCUGAUUGCACUGAUCGGGGUGGCUAGAAAGAGACGUCCUGAUGCAUUAUAAUUGCUGGUUUGCAACGCCCCCUCCUUUCGCGUUGAAAUGAAAUAUCGAAUUAAGGAAUGGUUGUGACCAUAAAAAUGUGUGUCGAAAUGGCAAAAUAGUAUAGGGUAUGUGGGGGAAAAUUACGAGACGCGAUGUUAAGUAGGAACAUCGAUUUCUGUUUGGAAGAGAAAGGGGUACCGAGAAACAGAAGCGAAUGCAAGAAAGAUAGAAAUGUAAACGCUGGGUAGUUUUGUCAACACGUUUAAUAGAGUUUAUCGAAGAAACGCAGAAUUAAUCACACAAGCGAGGUAUCGCGCAAAAACCCACUAAUAACGAUAUGGGACUCUUUUGGAAAGUUUACAAAGUGUAUAGCGUUCUCCGAGAAACGGCGUUUUCCUUUUAUUCUUCGAGACUUUCGGUCAUUUUUUUUCGCUCUGAAGGCAAACGGCGGCAGGUUUUUCUUUUCCCUUCUCGUGUUUCUGCGUGUCGGUUGCUUUUUGGAAGCCGUGUGUACGAAGCGACAGGAGCGAGCGAGCGAAGCGGGGCUGCCACGAAAGGCAAAAGAAAAACAAAUCUCAUUGUCUCCACGGGAGUACUUCGUCUGGGUGUCAGCAGAGAGCAAGCGAAGCGCUUUUAUGUCUUUUCAGGUAUUUGACUCCAGCUGCACGCAAGAAAUGCAGCCUAAAGUGGAAGCAGGAAUAUUCAGUAUGUAGACUGCAACAUAUGUGAGUGAUGCAUUGGAUAGAUAUAUAAAAGGAGAGGCAGCUUAGGGGAUAAAGUCUGAAAGCAAGUUAAGGGCUAGAAUUAUCCAACUGUGUGAUACAGCCCACACAAAAGGAAUUAGUAAGGAGUCGCCUGAAUCCAUUCUUUGUGAGUAUUUAAACAUGAGUGAGGUCUGUGGACACUGGAGGCUUGGAAUCCUGAAGUGAAUUAUCAGAAGUAUCAGCAUGUCUAGUGUUCCAAGGAAAAUGUGUAAUGAAUUUCCUCUGGGAGAAAUUUCAGAAGCCUUUCAUAACUGGGGAUGAAAUUUGGAUUUAUCAUUUUUAACCCAAAGUCCAAACAAUAAUUGAAACGAUGGAAGAAUGAGGUUACUCCAACACCGAAUAAAUUCAAGGUUCAAUCCACAGCUGGGCAAGAUGUGCUCAAUUUUUUCUGAUUUUGAGAGUGCAGUCUAGACUGACUACAUGUUUUAGAAUGCCCACAUAAGUGGUCAGCAUUACAGUAAUUUUCUUUGGUGUUUGCAAUAAUCGGUCAUUGAAAAGCAGCUAGAAGACCUUGUGAUCAUCCAUCCCCCUUGUGUUUCAUGACAAUGCUCCACUCACACUGCAGCAAAGGCUGCUGUUUGAAAUUGUGUGUUCAAAGACACCCCAUACUCUCACUGUUUUCCACACCUGGCUCUAAGUAACAAGUGCGUAUCUCCCAAAUCUGAAGCUCUACCUUUUUUCAUUCCUCUGGCAAUGAUAAAAAAUGUCAAGUCAGCUACAGAAGACUGGUUGUACAAGCAAGACAAAAUGUUUAAUACGAGAUGCAUUGAAAUGCUUUGCAAAUGUUAAUAAUCCCUGUGAACACUAAUACAUUUUUUGUUUUGGAAAAAUAAAACGUUCUUUUUUUACUAUUGUUUCUCUUAAUAGGACAUCCUGAAAACUUGAUUGAUCUUAUUUUUUAAAUCAACCUUUGUAAAAUAUAUUGAACAGUGAUUUUGUGUGGUGUAUGGCUGACAAAGUUACCAAAAAGGCAAGAUGAACAGACUUUACAGAUUAAUAAUGUCAUAAACAGAAUGUUUGAAGCUUGCAUCCUGUGUAUGUUUUAACAAUUUGUGAGUGAUUUUCAUUUAUUAUAGCCACUUUUCAAAUAUCAUCUUAGAAGGUCAGCAUGUAUUUUAGUUUUACUUCCUUCUAUAUGCAUUAAUUUACAGAGGUAGGUUUUAGUCCACAUACUGUAUAAACGUGUCCAGAUAACUUACAGUAUUUCAGCAGGCCAUGUAAUAAUGCCUUUGUCUUUGCAGAUAUGAUUAAGUUGGAGACUGUCGAUAAGUAGAAACAAAAAGAAAAGGAUUUUUUUUUUCCUUAAGCUAACUGUUGGGUCAUAUUUAAGUGUUUAAAUUGGGUAUUACAAAAUGUGACUCUCUGGAGAGCUUUCAGAAAAAGGACUUGAAAAGCACAAGCUCUCCAGACUGAGACUUCUGGCUUAGGUCAAUUCCAUUAUGACCCAAAUGAUCUCUUUCCACAGCAUUUGUAAACCUUUAUUUUCCUUAUUCUUUCUUAAAACUUGCAAUCAGUAUAAUUCAUGUGUUAAUUUAGCAGCACAUCAUGGUUUGCAGUGAUUUGGAGAUGCAGACCAUAUUGAGCUGCCCCAUUAAUGCUACACUGUCAGCUAAAGAUGACAUAACGUUUGUAUCCUUUUAUGAAAAUUGGGCCUGGAAGCGUAAAGUAAGAUUGUGGUCCGUGUCCAUGUAGAACCCAAAAAUACAUAACAUAGUGAAUAUGGUGAUUGUACAGCAUGCCAGAAAGUGUGAGCACAUGCAAGUAUCGAACAUUAGUCAGCAGUGUUGAAGCAGCACGUAUAUACUGGAGUCUCACUCUGUCAUCUCUCCAGUGUUACGUUUCUGCUCUGAUAAGGCUGACAUUAACCUAUUUCUGAAUUGUGCCUGAAUAUUCAGAUACUGUGGCACCUGAAUAAUGGAAGGUUAAAAUCCUUUCCACACAUACACCGCAGUACUAAAGAAGUUACAGAGAGAUUGGCUCUUAUAGGCUAAACAUAUUAGUAGAUCUGAUCCUAAAUGAACAAGCAAAUGUGAAAUGGGUGUGUAUUAAGGAGUAUAUAUUAAUACUCUGACAGCAGACAUUGUUUGAAAUGGCAUAUAGCCCUGGCAUCAUUCAGAAUAUAUCCUUAUACAAUUACUGUGCAGACAGUAGCUGCAAACCCAAAAUUCAGAUUGAAUAAAAGGCAUUUAUACCAUCAUGUCCAGUUUCUGGAAUAGCACCAACACAUUAGAGUGUAAAACAGGUUUUAACACAAUUUUUCAGUCCUCCUGUAGCAACACAGUUAUUAACAUAUUGUUGCAUUGAAUUUAGUCUAAAUAUAAAAAUAAGGAUCUGAAAAUAGUCCUGUUCAUCAAAAGUAACAGUGAUAUCAAUUUCAACAUCCUUUAUUGAGAUGAGAAGUAUUUAAAAUACUGUCUGAUAGAGGCAAUUUUAAAUUACAAAACAAUUGUGCAUUUUAUAUGAAGAAAGAAGAAAACUUGAAUACCUUAAAUUGUUUAAAAAUUCUUAGUUUAAUAAACAAUCACAAGUAAAAGCUAUACAACACUGCUUUUGCCAUUUUUAUCCCACCUGUACUUUACCAUUAUAUCACUUAAACUGUUACCCAUUUUUUGAUAUUCAUUUUACCGAGUGAUCAUCUGUCCUUCCCUUCAACACAAAAAAAAGCUUUAAAAAGUAGAGAGCUAAGGUAACUGUCAAACACGCAACUCUUGGGGUCUUAAAGAUCUCCUUAUGCUUUGCAGUUUGACACCGUUCAAGAGAACAGAACUAGUAGUGUAAAUAGUUUGCAAGGCAUCUGCCUCCGCAAAAGAGCACUUAUUUCAGUGCAGCUGUGUAAAAUUGACUUUGUCCAGAAGAUAUUUUCUCUAACUUACUAGCAUUAAUGCUCAUUUUCACUUUCAUGUGAUAUAACUUUUCAGUGCAAACAUCUAUAAUUUAAACCUCAUUCACAAAAUUAAAAAAGCUGUUAUUUCCAGAAUCCUUGACUGUCUUAAACAUAUCAUGGUAGCACAGUUUGAACAACAACUAAAUGGUGAUGCAGCUGCUGCUGCUUCUUUUAAGUGGGAAAUCACAGUAAUGUUAACAGUGGACUCAAGUUGCAACUUUAUCACAUCAAAAACUACUUUUGGUAAUACAUAUGUAUAUUAUCGAGGUUCUCGUUCAAGCCUAGUUUUGAUAGAUAUUCAUUGUUAAAUGCAAGUUGGUUAUGGUGACUGCUGUUUGGAUAUGAAAUUUUGAGCUGAAAACUUCAGUGAUGGUGAAAAUGCAAACGUGUGAAAAACAAAGCAGAAAGUUUGUGGUGGCGAAUGAUACAUUUCACAAGCAGUGAUGACCGUAUUAGGUGGAUUUGGCAGAUUAGUCGAUGGAAGAUUACUGACAAUAAGGACCUGGAUGCAAUAUUAAUGCCAUUCAGUGCUGGGAAAUUGGUAUGCAAUUGAUAUUUAAUGAAAAACAUACAAUAUUUCAGGUUCAGUUUAUUCUUACAUUUUGUGCUAAUGUUGAGAAGUCCAAUACAGUUGAACACAAAAUUCCAGAGAACAAAACCACACAUGUAUGUGCAUUAUAGGCAGGCAUAGUGUAACUAGUGUUCAAAAAUUUGUAAUCACCCAGAAAUGUUCCUGUUUUUUAAAGAAACAGUUGAUGCUCUUUUCAUUAAGGUACCAUUAAACCGAUUUAAACAUUAAGCCAAGGCAUUGCUAAUGUUACUAAUGGUCAUAUUCACAUAGGACUGCAGAGUUCCACUUUCAGCAGUCAUUCCUUCAGUGCCCUAAUGGUAAACUCACCUUUCCUCAUCCUUAUUUACUCAUAGUGUCAUCUGCAACAGUGAGAAGAAAAGCUUAAAAUGCGUAAAAGAACACAGAUGGUGGAUUUCUGGGUGAUUCCAAACUUUUGCCCAUUUUAACCCUUUUUUUUUUUUUUUUUUGUUAGUUUCAGAUAUGGCUUUUUCUUUGAAAUGCUUUCUUUAAAGCCACCAUCCUGGAGCCUCCUUCUCCCUGUUGCAGAUGAUACUGGUGCUUGAUGUCUAUUUAAUGAAGAAGUCAAUGGAGGACCUGUAAGCUGUUUCUCAAACUACAUCCUCUAUUCUUCUCCUCUUUUGCUCUUGUCUAUCUGGGCCUCCCCUUCUUUUUCUAUCCUAGUGGGAACCAAUUUGUCCACUGUUCUGAAGACAGUAAUGGACAUCUUUUUAUGAAAUCUUGUUUCUUGCCAAUGUGAAAUGAAAUAAUCUUCAUUCCACAAAACAACAAUAGAUUCAAUUUGGCCAUUUUUGAGCCCAGAACUGAACUUUAGGAGUGCAGGUGCCUUGUAACACAAGUGACCAGAACAGGUGAACCCUCAUGAUGUCCGAAUAGGAUGAAGGGUGAGCACUGGCUUCACUGUUGUCACUGACAUAUUCGUUACAUGGUCUGACCCCAAGUUCAUUAGGGACACUUAUAUGCAACAUUUAAACAGGAUACUGAGAAGAGAAAGAGAACUGGGGGAAAAAAACCUUAGCAACUCUUGAUGAAAACAAUUUCUAUAAUAAUUAAAAAAAAUAAAGCAAUACAAGCAACCUUCACAGCAGUCUUGAUGAAGAGUAGGCCAUGCUAUAAUAGUGGUGCUCUAGCCUUGACGUACUGGUAAAUGCUGAGGUUAGUUGGAACCCUCAAUUGCAAACUGCUUAAUUCAGUUCAGGGGCACGGGAGUGGGGACAAAGCCUAUCCCAGGAGCACUUGGUGCAAGGCAGGGACCAGCUUGAAGUUGCCAGUUAACCAGCAUGUUUUGGCAGAAAGCCAUGUAGACUCGACAUGGACAAUGCCUCGCCAUCUGCUGACAGGUGGAUCAUUCGAAAUGUAACAACAGUGGAAGUGCAGGUGUUUGGAAUUGUGGAUAUGUUCUGCCCAAAAGUUAAAUCAGUGUUAAAAGGUAAUGGGCUGAUUUUGCAGACUAAAGAUCACAUUAUUUGAAUUAAGCAUUGCCUUACCGUUUGCAAAAUUACCACCCAUGAAAAGAAAAAAUAAUUUCAUUUGUUUGCCAUUUCAUCUUGGUAAAACAGUCAACUGAUGCAGUAAUUGAAAGAAUAUUUGCAUGAAUAAUGGCGAGUGUUCCCAACAUCUGAAUGUAUGUUUAUGUAUUUCCAAGUAAAAACCAGUAUAGUACCCUCAGUAAUGGGCAGGCACAAGUGGGCACUGCUGGCCGACUCCCACAUGGACUGUUCAGUCGCUUGCUUUACAGUCACCUUGCAGAAUCCCAUAGUUUUGUUUAGAUGUGCCAUCUGCUUUAUUUUCAGUUUGAGUUUUUAAAGUCUCGGACCACCAAUAAUAAACAAGUCUUGUGGCAAUAAAAGGUGCAUCAUUAUCAAAUUAAAAACUGUGAUCCUGCUGUACAGUUUUGUCCUGACAACAACAAUAAAACUUUUCUUUUUCACAAAAAUGAGCCAUUAUCUUGUCUUAUUAAAGCUAACACUUUGUCUCAAACCUGCUUAAUCCAAUUCAGUACUGCAGACACCAGAGUUAGUUCCAGCAUUAUUGUGUGCAAAGCAGAGAAGAGCCCUGCAGGGGGCAGCAGCUGGUCACAGGCCAAUUAAGAGUCACCAGUUAGGCUGACCAGAGUGUCUCUGGGAUAUGGAUGGAGGACCCAGGAAGGCAUGGAGAGAACAAGCAAACUCGCAUAUGAGGUGUGAACUUUCAUUCUUGUUCAUGUGCUGCGGUUUACUGUUUUCUGAUAUGUUGUCCUCAUUGUUUAAAAUCUUGACUUUAAUAUUUGGGUAUUUUGUUGAUAGAGUAAAUCUGAUAUUUAUA